AUUGAACGCUGGCGGCAGGCCUAACACAUGCAAGUCGAACGAGUGGCGGACGGGUGAGUAAUGUCUGGGAAACGGCCUGCUGGCGGGGGAUAACUACUGGAAACGGUAGUUAAUCCCGCAUUCCAUCAGAUGUGCCCAGAUGGGAGUAGCUUGUUGGUGGGGUAACGGCUCACCAAGGCGACGAUCCCUAGCUGGUCUGAGAGGAGGACAAGCCCAACUGGAACAGAGACACGGUCCAACGUCCUACGGGAGGCAGGGAUGGGGAAUAUUGCAAUAUGGCAGCAAGCCUGAUGCAGCCAUGCCGCGAGUAUGCAGGAGGCCUUCGGGUUGUAAAGUACUUUCCGCGGGGAGGCGUUACCCGCAGAAGAAGCACCGGCUAACUCCGUGCCAGCAGCCGCGGUAAUUC
rnacentral:rRNA from 1 species